rnacentral:rRNA from 1 species
GUAGUCAUAUGCUUGUCUCAAAGAUUAAGCCAUGCAUGUCUAAGUAUAAGCAAUCUAUACGGUGAAACUGCGAAUGGCUCAUUAAAUCAGUUAUCGUUUAUUUGAUAGUACCUUACUACUUGGAUAACCGUGGUAAUUCUAGAGCUAAUACAUGCUAAAAACCCCGACUUCUGAAGGGGUGUAUUUAUUAGAUAAAAAACCAAUGCCCUCCGGGGCUCCCUGGUGAUUCAUGAUAACUUAACGAAUCGCAUGGCCUUGCGCCGGCGAUGGUUCAUUCAAAUUUCUGCCCUAUCAACUUUCGAUGGUAGGAUAGUGGCCUACCAUGGUUUCAACGGGUAACGGGGAAU